AUCAGCAGCCAUAUCGCUCUGCAACUCACAACUGGCGACCCACUGAAGCUAAACAGGUUUGAACCUGCUCAGUACCUGGAUGGGAGACCUCCUGGGAAAGUAAAGUUGAUGCUGGAA
rnacentral:rRNA from 1 species